GGCUGUCGGUCUAGCAGGGGGGACUCCCCUGAGGGGCCGCUGCGGGUCGCCGUCUUCGGAGGCACCGGCGAGGGCAGAGCCAACAGCCUCUUCACGGUCUGUAAGGUCAUUGUUUGCCAGUCGUGGGCAGCGCGGCAAACCUGCUGGGAAAAGGUUUUCUGGUUGGAAUAGGAUGAGUACCGCACCAGCUUUGCCUUCCAGCUGAGAUGUAAAUUUCAGGCCUCCAUCCUGUGGAACGUGGGAAAACUAUCUUGAGUGUUGGCAUGUUCUAAGUAUGACAUAAUAGUUUAAUGUAUGAUAAAUCAUGGGUGUUUAGACGAAAGAUUUACACAUAUAAAUUGGAGGCUUUAGCGGUCUUAGUGUAACUAACUUUUCGUCCCCUUAACCCUUGAUGCCUGUUCUAUGGGUCUCUAGAGCGGAAGGAGCAUUAUACUCCGGAAACAUUUGCUGGAAGGGGUUAUGAGAAAUUCCUCUCUGUAUGCUAACUCCGUAAUACAAGCGUUUGUGUAUUUUAAAAUCACAGCUGUUCCAAAUAUAAUCUAGCCUCGUUUUCCCCCUCCGUCGGAUGAUAGGUGUUCUUCAGGACAGUUUUAUUUUAAGCAAUUCUUAGUCUCAAGUAAACACCAUCAUUAAAAGAACUGAGAACUAUUAUCAAUUCUUCCUUUGGAGUCCAUCUUCAAUGGAAAGGAGAAGGGAAAACCUUUUUUAAAAAGAAGAAAGAAAACUGAAGUUUUUGAUUUGACUAGAGAAAUAUUCAGAAGACUCCUUAUUUUCACCUAGUUUAAUCACAAAAUUGAGAAACAAACAUUAUCCCUUGACCAUGUAAAUUUUACACCACAUUAUGUCAACAGCAUGUACCUUCCACAUUGAGUAUUCAGAAAGAAGUGAUCUGAACUCUGACCAUUCUUUAUGGAUACAUUAAGUCAAAUAUAAGAGUCUGACUACUUGACACACUGGCUCGAGCAAACAUGAACGUUGGAGUUGCCCACAGUGAAGUGAAUCCAAAUACCCGUGUCAUGAACAGCCGGGGUAUGUGGCUGACAUAUGCAUUGGGAGUUGGCUUGCUUCAUAUUGUCUUACUCAGCAUUCCCUUCUUCAGUGUUCCUGUUGCUUGGACUUUAACAAAUAUUAUACAUAAUCUGGGGAUGUACGUAUUUUUGCAUGCAGUGAAAGGAACACCUUUCGAAACUCCUGACCAGGGUAAAGCAAGGCUCCUAACUCAUUGGGAACAACUGGACUAUGGAGUACAGUUUACAUCUUCACGGAAGUUUUUCACAAUUUCUCCAAUAAUUCUAUAUUUUCUGGCAAGUUUCUAUACGAAGUAUGAUCCAACUCACUUCAUCCUAAACACAGCUUCUCUCCUGAGUGUACUAAUUCCCAAAAUGCCACAACUACAUGGUGUUCGGAUCUUUGGAAUUAAUAAGUAUUG
rnacentral:lncRNA from 1 species